GUCUACGGCCAUACCACCCUGAAUGUGCCCGAUCUCGUCUGAUCUCGGAAGCUAAGCAGGGUCGGGCCUGGUUAGUACUUGGAUGGGAGAUAUAGACAAUAUUUAGAAGAAAACAAGAGACAGUAUGAU
rnacentral:rRNA from 1 species